rnacentral:rRNA from 1 species
GCGGACGCUGGCGGCAGGCUUAACACAUGCAAGUCGAGCGGGCCUUUCGGGGUCAGCGGCGGACGGGUGAGUAACGCGUGGGAACGUGCCCUCUGGUUCGGAAUAACUCAGGGAAACUUGAGCUAAUACCGGAUACGCCCUUUUGGGGAAAGGCUUGCUGCCGGAGGAUCGGCCCGCGUCUGAUUAGCUAGUUGGUGAGGUAACGGCUCACCAAGGCGACGAUCAGUAGCUGGUCUGAGAGGAUGAUCAGCCACACUGGGACUGAGACACGGCCCAGACUCCUACGGGAGGCAGCAGUGGGGAAUAUUGGACAAUGGGCGCAAGCCUGAUCCAGCCAUGCCGCGUGAGUGAUGAAGGCCUUAGGGUUGUAAAGCUCUUUUAUCCGGGACGAUAAUGACGGUACCGGAGGAAUAAGCCCCGGCUAACUUCGUG